rnacentral:lncRNA from 1 species
GGCUGCUCGGGCAAUGCACGGCAAUGCCCGGCUGAGCCGGCCUCCCUGGGCGACGGCCCGGGGCUGGAGCUUUGGGUGGGAGGCCCUGGGAAGCAAGCAGGGCGGGGCCGUGUCACAGGCACGGAGGGGGGCAUCCUGCCUGAGGACCGGGCAUCUCCCAAGCCGCUGAAACAUGUUUAUCAACACGGUAGAGAAGCAAAGCGGGGACAGCGACUUCCUACCCACUGGAGGAAAAAGCAAAACCCCAGAGCCCCAGGGAGUUACGGAGAAGAGAGGCGAGUACCGGAAACCAGGGGAAACGCAGAGCCUCCGAGGUGCUGCUGUCAAGAGCGGAGCUGCAAGGUCUCGGGUGCAGGUGAGUGGGGAGGAGGGUGCAGCUCAGAGGGGUCCAGGAAGAGGGUGCCCCGAAGGGCAAAGGCUGGGCAGAGGGUGAUGCAAGGACGGGACCUGGGCCUGCGGGCGGAGAGGGACAAGGGGUGGGUGGAGGUGUGCAGGGUGGGUCUGGGCUCCGAGUUCCAGAGCUUAGAAGUGGACACUGGUGUGGCCGCCCACGCCCAGGGCUGGGCCUGGCACCAAGGAGGGAGGCGGCGGAGAACUGGCUUCUUUUCAGAUGCUGGAGAUCCAGGGCAUUUGGGGGAGGGGGUCGGAUCAGGGGCAGGUUGCCCCUCUGGGGAGCUGCAGCCGGAACUGUGAAGGCCACUGCCUUCCUCUCGGUAGCAGCCGUUCAUUCAACUAAAAACUCAUUUUUCCAAACUUUAUUUUGUGGAAAUGUCGGUGCCUCAUAAAAGCGAUAAGAAUUGCAGCCCUGGUAAGAAGGUGGUCGGGC